rnacentral:lncRNA from 1 species
CUUAUAUAAAAGCAGAUGACAAAAUUCACAGCAAUUUUUCUGUCUGUACUGGAACUACAAAAAUCUAUUGUUUUACACUUGCAGACAUUUUUCAGAUGUCUGCCAAUAGGUGGCGCCAGCAACAUCCACCUUUGGAAGAGCCUGGGAAAUGGCAACCCACUCCAAUGUUCUUGCCUGGAGAAUCCCAGGGACAAGGGAGCCUCAUGGGCUGCCGCCUAUGGGGUCGCACAGAGUCGGACACGACUGAAGAGACUUAACAGCAACUUAGCAGCAGUGGAUUCAAAGGCGGGAAGAAGAACUUGA